rnacentral:misc_RNA from 1 species
AAAAAAAAAAAGAAGAGAAAAUUCUAGAAAGAAGUUCCAUUUCUAGAACUACCUUCUCUUCGCCGACACAAAAUCGCAAUUCUCAGAAAAUCGAAUCACAAAAGUUAACAACAAUGGCGUCGGCAGGCAAAUCGCUGAUUCAAACUGUAAAACGCUACUUGAAGAAGCCAUGGGAGAUCACAGGACCUCAAUCGAGUCCAGAAUAUGUAUCCGCCGUACCAAAAGCUACAGAGUACAGAGUUACCUGCCCUGCUACAGCACAAGCUCAAGCUAUAAUCCCCACCUCAAAUCCCGAUACGGUAUACGAUAUCAAGUACUUCUCUCGUGACCAGCGGCGUAAUCGUCCUCCUAUAAGGCGCACUGUUCUUAAAAAAGAUGAUGUUGAGAAGAUGAUGAAGGAGAAGACAUUUAGUAUUGAUGGUUUUCCGAAACCCUACUUGACUGCUAAAGUUGAGGAAGAUUAUAAUGCUAUUGGUGGUGGAUACCAGAAAUGAAGGCUCUCUAGUCAUGGCUAACUCGUCCUGCUGCAAUAACGUGCCUGGUGUGUGUGUGUUCUCUGGUGUAAAUUGGUCAGAGUCAGUUGUUGCUUCAUGAUGUACCAUUUGGAAUUUUCAGGAAUUGGUAGUGCCAUAGCAUUAUGAUAUUUGUAACAUCUUCUGUUUUAAUUGUGAAUCAAUUCUAAAAAGAAUAUCUCGUUUUAUAUUUAGCUAGUUUUUCAAUCUUAUCAGAUUUAAAAG